GGAUGUGAGGGUCAUCUGGCUGCCAUAUCUGUCACACCAUUGAUCACCAGGAUUGAUUUGGCUCAUCUGGCUGCCUAUGUGGUUGUCUCCUUCUACCUUCAUGUUUCCAUGUAUGCCUGACCCUCACUGCCUGUGCUAGGAGAGGACAACCCUGCCAUAUAGAAGAGGUCCAUUCUUCCAUCAAGAGUAUACAAUAGCUGUACUCCCCUGGUAAAAUCUCUAAGCAAGCUCUCAAAUACAGGUAGUUUGCCUUAUUAGCUGAUGAGAUGGAUGAGUAAAAGUUUUGAAUUCUAAGACAUACUGGACAUAGCAGUGGGUUUGGUUG
rnacentral:snRNA from 1 species